AGUGGCGGACGGGUGAGUAACGCGUGAGAAUUUGCCUUCAGGUCGGGGACAACAGAGGGAAACUUCUGCUAAUCCCGGAUGAGCCUUAGGGUAAAAAAUUUAUUGCCUGGAGAUGAGCUCGCGUCUGAUUAGCUAGUUGGUAAGGUAAAAGCUUACCAAGGCAACGAUCAGUAGCUGGUCUGAGAGGAUGAGCAGCCACACUGGGACUGAGACACGGCCCAGACUCCUACGGGAGGCAGCAGUGGGGAAUUUUCCGCAAUGGGCGAAAGCCUGACGGAGCAAGACCGCGUGGGGGAGGAAGGCUCUAGGGUUGUAAACCCCUUUUCUUUGGGAAGAACAAAAUGACGGUACCAAAGGAAUCAGCCUCGGCUAACUCCGUGCCAGCAGCCGCGGUAAUACGGAGGAGGCAAGCGUUAUCCGGAAUGAUUGGGCGUAAAGCGUCCGCAGGUGGCAAUGUAAGUCUGCUGUCAAAACCCAGGGCUCAACUCUGGUCAGGCAGUGGAAACUACAUAGCUAGAGUUCGGUAGGGGCAAAGGGAAUUCCCGGUGUAGCGGUGAAAUGCGUAGAGAUCGGGAAGAACAUCGGUGGCGAAAGCGCUUUGCUAGACCGAAACUGACACUCAGGGACGAAAGCUAGGGGAGCGAAUGGGAUUAGAUACCCC
rnacentral:rRNA from 1 species